rnacentral:rRNA from 1 species
UACGUAGGGGGCAAGCGUUGUCCGGAUUUAUUGGGCGUAAAGAGCGUGUAGGCGGCCAUACAGGUCAGCUGUGAAAACUCGAGGCUCAACCUCGAGACGUCGGUUGAAACCGUAUGGCUAGAGUCCGGAAGAGGAGAGUGGAAUUCCCGGUGUAGCGGUGAAAUGCGCAGAUAUCGGGAAGAACACCGGUGGCGAAGGCGGCGACCUGGUCCUUGACUGACGCUGAGGCGCGAAAGCGUGGGGAGCAAACAGG